GGAACAGUUCAUAGUUAAUAAGCAUGAUGGGAGUUGUCCUCCAUAUAAUUAGUAGCUUGAAGCAGUGAAGAUUUAAGUAAGCAAGCAUUAGUUCAUUAUCAAAUGAUAUUGUAGACAAAUAGCUGAAAGAUAUACUUAAGGUUAAUGUGAGUAGUCCUCCAAUAGUUCAGAGAUAUUGUCCACUUGUAAAGUAAGUGAGUUUC